rnacentral:tRNA from 1 species
UUUUUAUAAAGCAAGACACUGAAAAUGUCUAGAUGGGCAUUAUUGCCCCAUCAACA